UCACAAUAACUCAAGCCUUCAUAUUCUCUACUGAUACAAUUUCCUCAAGCAACCAAAAUCUAGUACUUGUUUUACAAAAAUUAUAUAUAAAGAAGAAGUAGACUAUGGCUAUCCGUUUGGCAGGUCAUCUUUCUAAACAAAUUCUUCGCCAGUCUGUGUUUGCCACAAAUAAAGCAGCUUCAAGAAGUUCAGAUGUACCAAAAGGUUUCUUAGCA
rnacentral:lncRNA from 1 species